CUUGAGACUGUCUGUCAAAACCGACAGCAUGUCAAAACAUCGGCGUGUAGUUUGCUGAGCGGAAAAAUUUAUAUAGAUGCUUCAAGCAGAUCUCUCGUCAAAAGUACAGCCUGCUGAAAAAGAGGAUUUAUAGGGAUGUAAUCCCCAGUUUGGCCUGAAAAAUCUGCAAUCUUUUCGAGCCCCAAAGUAUAUCAACGCACCUAAACGCUUCGGGGAAUUUACAUGAAAAAUGUUGGAAAGGAAAUAAGUUCUCCCACAAGGGUCGUCGCCACGAGCGAAUCUUGCAACGUCACGUAAAGAAAGAUGUUCUCGAUAAAAUUGAGCAAAGUUAUCUAUUAUAAGAAAUAUUUUAAAGAAUUCUGUAUAUCAUAAGUUCUGACUAUCAUAAAUUUUAAGGUUGUUUAAAACGGUAUAUAUUAAUGUCCUUUCUAGAGUCUGUAUUCAAGUAUACGCGUACCAGAGAGAGAGGCAGCAAGAUUCAGAAUUCUAUCGUAUCAAAAUCUCUAUGGCUUUAAAGACCUGCUAUCGCGAAUCUAUCAUUAUUGUUGAUCGAACAUAAAUGAACGAACGCCAAAUCGGGGCAAACUUUGCAGCAAUGGGCGCGGAAUUGUUUGUGGGAAAAUAAUAGACAGCGCCGAGUGGAGCCGAGGUUGGCUGGUAAGCAAGCGCAUAGAUUCUCACCAAGAUCUAAUGAGAGACAAAUGUGGAACGAGAAAUGCGCGCUUCGAUUCAAUUUCUUCAAUGUAGGUAGGUAGGUAAAUGUGAUUUUCCAGCUCCUUUCAAUUUCUGGCCGCGAAGUGGAGCAAAUUCAUCGGUUGUCGGACAUUUUAGGCGAAUUAGUCGUUGGUGUCUAUCACUGAUUUGCAGCAGUGACAUAAUCUAACAGUCUUUCUCCUUUGUUUUCGCAUAGCUCUUUCAGUUAUAACGCUAGAAUAUCUCUGUUAACGUAAUAUUGCCUUAAUAAAAUCAAAUCCAAAAGUUUGCAGAAUUUUUAAUCACAAGCACACACACACACACACACAACAUAUGUAUUGUAUAUAUAUAGGUAUAUAUAAAUUCCUAAGAGAUAAUAAAACGCUUUCGCGAUAUUUCGUACGACAUGAUGCGCCAAUAAAGUCGUUUUUUGCGCGAAAAAGUAUUCUCCUCUUGUGAUAUCUUUUUGCUUUCUCCGAUACGCGAUAUCAGUGUCCACCCGCGCAUCACGUUUCUAUCGUCAAAGCGAGAAAGUGGAGCUUUCAUUGCGUAUCAUUCCGCCAACUAUAUCGCUAAGUAGAUAAUAAGUAAAAUAAAAUCAAUCUCAGCUCGAGCAUUCAAGUUAAGUUACUUAAAAACUAAUAAUAAUUUUUAGCGGAGUUGUUUUCUUGUUGGAUAUUUAAAAUUUACACGUAAUGAUUCGAAAUAUCAAUUCAAUCGCGGAUUUUCGCAUUUCUUUUCUGCUGAAUGACAUUUCGAGAAAUGUUUUGUCGUUUUUAUUACUCAACACGAAACUGGUAAACAUA